rnacentral:rRNA from 1 species
GACGAACGCUGGCGGCGUGCUUAACACAUGCAAGUCGAACGGAAAGGCCCUGCUAUUGUGGGGUGCUCGAGUGGCGAACGGGUGAGUAACACGUGCGUAACCUGCCCUUGACUUUGGGAUAACUUCAGGAAACUGGGGCUAAUACCGGAUAGGAGCUCCUGCUGCAUGGUGGGGGUUGGAAAGUUUCGGCGGUUGGGGAUGGUCGCGCGGCUCAGCAGCUUGUUGGUGGGGCAGUGGCUUACCAAGGGUUUGACGGGUAGCCGUCCUGAGAGGUUGACCGGCGACAUUGGGACUGAGGUACGGAGCAGACGGGAACGGGAGGCAGCGGGCGAGAGUAUUACACAGUGGGGGGAAGUGUGAUGCAGCGACCCCGCGUGCGGAAUGACGGCCUUCGGGUUGUAAACCGCUUUCGCCUGUGACGAAGCGUGAGUGACGGUAAUGAGUAAAGAAGCACCGGCUAACUACGUG